CAGUAGCCACGGUAAUACGAAGGGUGCGAGCGUUAAUCGGAAUUACUGGGCGUAAAGCGUGCGUAGGCGGUUUGUUAAGUCUGUUGUGAAAUCCCCGGGCUCACCCUGGGAAUGGCAAUGGAUACUGGCAAGCUAGAGUGUGUCAGAGGAUGGUGGAAUUCCCGGUGUAGCGGUAAAAUGCGUAGAGAUCGGGAGGAACAUCAGUGGCGAAGGCGGCCAUCUGGGACAACACUGACGCUGAGGCACGAAAGCGUGGGGAGCAAACAGGAUUAGAUACCCCUGUAGUCCCUGUCUCUUAUAC
rnacentral:rRNA from 1 species